rnacentral:ncRNA from 2 species
CCACGUAAGGGCGAUGGAGUUCGCCGGAUAGUCCUCGUGCUUUUUAGCGAUGUGGGAAUGAUGACUCCUACCGAGAA